GACAGGUCUGCAGGGCACGGCCCUCGCAGCCAGCCGCUGGGAGUUUGUGACAGCAAAGCUCUGUCUGGUUUCCUAUCAGCCUCGUGGUCACCCAGAUGCCAGCAUUUGGACUCCCAAGCUGCAGACAUCACUUCCUAUAAUAGCCUCACAGUCAAAAGGGACAGGUUCCACCCAGAAUUGUGGCAAGAAUGUCAGCCCUGACUGAGUCAAGGAAACUGACAAGAUGGCACUGCCUGGAACACAGGAGACAGUCUGUAAUGUGUUUUCAGUACCACAGUCCCUGCCCUCAAGGGGCUCACAGCUCGGUGGACAAGGCAGAAACGUCAACAAGCAGAUGCAGAAUGGGCCAGAAGCAAUCCUACCACAGGAGGGAGGGAAGGGCCUCGUGGAGGAGCUGACCCUGCCACCGAACUGAAAGACUGAGGCUACGGAGGCCAUAAAGGAGGAAUAAAAGCAAGAAUAUCAUCCUGAAGCAAAGACACCUGGACAUGGGCACUUGGAGGCAGAGUUCAAGGCAAAUCUAAAGCAAAGCAGCCUCAGGCCUGACUCUAAGCCUUUUUCUGUACUGUUAGUAGGCUCCUAGAGGCCAAUAGCGAUCUGUUCUUUCUCUGUCUCUUUCUGUGUGUGUGUGUCUCUCUCUGUCCUUCCCUGUCUCUCUGUCUUUCUC